GAUGAACGCUGGCGGCGUGCCUAAUACAUGCAAGUCGAGCGAACAGACGAGGAGCUUGCUCCUCUGACGUUAGCGGCGGACGGGCGAGUAACACGUGGAUAACCUACCUAUAAGACUGGGAUAACUUCGGGAAACCGGAGCUAAUACCGGAUAAUAUAUUGAACCGCAUGGUUCAAUAGUGAAAGACGGUUUUGCUGUCUCUUAUAGAUGGAUCCGCGCCGCAUUAGCUAGUUGGUAAGGUAACGGCUUACCAAGGCAACGAUCCGUAGCCGACCUGAGAGGGUGAUCGGCCACACUGGAACUGAGACACGGUCCAGACUCCUACGGGAGGCAGCAGUAGGGAAUCUUCCGCAAUGGGCGAAAGCCUGACGGAGCAACGCCGCGUGGGUGAUGAAGGUCUUCGGAUCGUAAAACUCUGUUAUUAGGGAAGAACAAAUGUGUAAGUAACUAUGCACGUCUUGACGGUACCUAAUCAGAAAGCCACGGCUAACUACGUG
rnacentral:rRNA from 1 species